UACGUAGGGGGCAAGCGUUAUCCGGAUUUACUGGGUGUAAAGGGGGCGCGGACGGCGAUGCAAGCCAGGAGUGAAAGCCCGGGGCCCAACCCCGGGACUGCUCUUGGAACUGCGUGGCUGGAGUGCAGGAGGGGCAGGCGGAAUUCCUGGUGUAGCGGUGAAAUGCGUAGAUAUCAGGAGGAACACCGGUGGCGAAGGCGGCCUGCUGGACUGCAACUGACGUUGAGGCCCGAAAGCGUGGGGAGCAAACAGG
rnacentral:rRNA from 1 species